rnacentral:rRNA from 1 species
GCGUGAGUGAAGAAGGCCCUAGGGUUGUAAAACUCUUUCACUGAUGAAGAUGAUGACGGUAAUCAGAGAAGAAGCCCCGGCUAACUCCGUGCCAGCAGCCGCGGUAAUACGGAGGGGGCUAGCGUUGUUCGGAAUUACUGGGCGUAAAGCGCACGUAGGCGGCGCAUUUAGUUAGAGGUGAAAGGCCUGGGCUCAACCCGGGAACUGCCUUUAAUACUGAUGUGCUUGAGUACGGAAGAGGGUAGUGGAAUUCCAAGUGUAGAGGUGAAAUUCGU